GUCUCCCGUCUCCAGUCGCAGCCGCCGCCACACCUGCCGAUCCCUGCGCAGCGCACCCAUCCCCGCCGCCCAUACCUGCCGUCCCCUGCGCCACCCAUCCCCACCUCGCCCCGCCCGCCGCCUCCCCUUCACGCCGGCGCCCGCUCGCCUCGCCUGCACCGGUCGCCACGCGCUCGCCCCGCAAGGCAAGGAGCUCCCUUCCCCAGCCCGAUCUGAUGGAAAGAGGUCCAAGCCUUAACGGUCCGGUGUUCGUUGUGGCCAUAUCCGGCUGUGGGAGCCACCGUAGAGCCUCCAUGUCGGUGGAGCAGAGCAGCCCGACAGAUGUGGGUGCCUGAUCUCGUCCCGCAGAUCACCUCCACUAGGUGCCCCGGCGGUUCGGACCCCCACCUGGCCCCUCCCUCGAACCCAGCGAGCCUCCGUCCCGGCCUACUUCCCGCGCGAGGUCGCCUCCGCCUCCUCCUGGCGCACCGCCGCCCCCACCAUCUGGAUCGAUGUCCCACUUGAGUUAGCCGUGAACGAUAUGUUGAAGAGCAAGGGGGCACAGGCUAUUUCAGACCCUGAUUCGUUUUCUUAGGUUCUUUUCCCUUCUGCAAAUUCCACCCUCCUCAUGAUUUUGUUAUUUUUGUUUUCUUGAGACGGGGUGACUUAGAUAGCCUUGUACUGUUUACACUUGGAUAACUGCGAUUCAGAUUCAGCAGACAUACUAAAAGGGCUGGUUCUCUUUUGGCUCUGCAUUGCUUCUUAAACAUCAGUCUAAUUUAAUCCAUCCGUGGAAAAGCUGGAUCCAAAUUUGGUCUGUAAUGCAACAAGUGUAAACUCAGAGUGUGGACUUUGCGGGUCUAGCUUCAGUGUGUGCUGUGUUCAUCAUGGUUAUGUCCAUGCUGCAUAUGAAUGGAGCAUCCUUGUGCUCAUGUGAUCUUGCUUGUAUACACCCUUCACAUAAGAUGGAUACAGAGCCUAUGAUACCUUGCAUUUGCAUUAAAAUGGACAAUCUUUUUUCGUUCUGACAUGUGCAUCUUGAGCUUACGAUCUAUUGAAUCACAGUGGAGAUAUUAUGCCUGGAGGCAAUGGCAAAGCUCCGUCAGUGUUAUGAUGAUCUGAAAGAACGGUAUGUAGUUUCUGAUGUUACUGUUUCAGUACAGAGUAAGCCGACAACAUCCAAAAUCCUUUAUUCACUUUGAACAUAGUUGAUGUGUUUUCUGUGGUUGGGGGAAACCCUAUUGACGUUCUCUUGAACUGAACACCUUCCAGACGUGGCUUCUCAGCUAGGCUACAGAAGCAUCGACUCUUUGAGCCUGGAGGACAUGGUCAUUGAGAGGGGUCAUCGAGGCUGCCCGCAACCCGAUGCCCUCCACGGACACCACCACCAUGAUGGCGGAAGGAAGAGCAAGAGGGUUCGUCGAGGCUGGGUGCCGCCGUGAGGAUGCUGGUGCCCGUGCACGGUGAUGGCAUUGUGGCAGAAGGUCUUCUUCCGGGGGAGCCGCGCCUAGCCUCUGUCUCCACCCGCAGCCACGCUAACAAGAUAGGUUCAGGUUCAAUAUGUCAGGGCUAAACUAAGCUCGUCAGUUAAAGAAAGACCUCGAGAGACUCUGUAGGAUUUACUAUAUUUUGCAGCAGGCUACAUGCUUCUCUGAAUGACCAUUUAAGGAGUGAACAUGAAUUGCUGAUGUAUAUGUUCCAUGCUCCAUGGGGAGGGAACAAGGAUUGAUUUUCGCCAGUAGGGAGAGUAUGCUUACACGCAUACUUACCAGACUUGCGUAACAGAAGCACAAACACAAAUGGACACUCUCCAGUUGUAUCAGACACACCACCACAAGACAUGAUGUGUGCAUCAGAAUUCUUAGCAACGACCGUUACGACCGUGCAACGCCAAGAUUGCUAGCGACAAGGAUUUGAGGAGGACAAGACGGUAGCUAUCGACAAGGAUUCAAGGACCAGAUGCCACGGUAGUGGUUGUAAUAUUAGUCGAGACGAAUCUGAAAAAAUUGAGUUGAGAUGUGGAGAUACGAUGGAUUUGCAAAAAAAAAAUGAGUAAAUUUUUGCUACAAAGAACA